AGAGGGUGAAAGACAUGGGUAGUGAGACGCUUUGUUCUGGUCGUAUCACUAUUCUGUUUUUCGCCCUUUG
rfam:Dictyocaulus viviparus strain HannoverDv2000 D_viviparus-1.0_Cont2.43, whole genome shotgun sequence.